AUUAAAAUACGGUUCAGAAAAUUAGCGUGUAGUGCUCGAUUCGAUUUUCCACCGAUUAAGGAUUAGUUCGGUAGGAUUAUACCUUUGGCGACAGUUGCCAGAUUGUAGUCGCAAAGUGAGUCAUAGCGUGAAAUCCAUCGUCGCAGUCUGUCCAGUCUGUGGUCCAGUAGGUCCUUCCGACAAAUCCUGAAAAGAAAAGCCACUAGGUAGAGGUUAGUGUGUGGCACAGCAGGUGCGCAAGAUAUAUAGGCCCACCGAAUUUUGAAGCUCAAUACACAAAGCUAUCAGAACCGGUUUGUGUUUUUCCUUUGCGCCCUGCCAGCCUCGACAAAUCUUCAAAAUUCGUGGCAACAUGGAAGACAGCGCGACCGAUGGCCACGAGGAAUACAACUGUGUGGCCUGCCAACGGCCAGAUAGUGCGGACAACAUGGUCCAGUGCGACCAGUGCGACGUCUGGAAGCAUUACGCCUGCGCCGAGGUGAAUGAGAGCAUCCGGGAUCGAUCCUUCUUGUGUGGUGAUUGCACCGCGCAUGCCGCACACCAGAGU